GCUGCUUACACAUGCAAGUCGAACGGAAAGGCCCUUCGGGGUACUCGAGUGGCGAACGGGUGAGUAACACGUGGGUGAUCUGCCCUGCACUCUGGGAUAAGCCUGGGAAACUGGGUCUAAUACCGGAUAGGACCACACACUUCAUGGUGAGUGGUGCAAAGCUUUUGCGGUGUGGGAUGAGCCUGCGGCCUAUCAGCUUGUUGGUGGGGUAAUGGCCCACCAAGGCGACGACGGGUAGCCGGCCUGAGAGGGUGACCGGCCACACUGGGACUGAGAUACGGCCCAGACUCCUACGGGAGGCAGCAGUGGGGAAUAUUGCACAAUGGGCGCAAGCCUGAUGCAGCGACGCCGCGUGAGGGAUGACGGCCUUCGGGUUGUAAACCUCUUUCAGUAGGGACGAAGCGAAAGUGACGGUACCUACAGAAGAAGGACCGGCCAACUACGUGCCAGCAGCCGCGGUAAUACGUAGGGUCCGAGCGUUGUCCGGAAUUACUGGGCGUAAAGAGCUCGUAGGUGGUUUGUCGCGUUGUUCGUGAAAACUCACAGCUUAACUGUGGGCGUGCGGGCGAUACGGGCAGACUAGAGUACUGCAGGGGAGACUGGAAUUCCUGGUGUAGCGGUGGAAUGCGCAGAUAUCAGGAGGAACACCGGUGGCGAAGGCGGGUCUCUGGGCAGUAACUGACGCUGAGGAGCGAAAGCGUGGGUAGCGAACAGGAUUAGAUACCCUGGUAGUCCACGCCGUAAACGGUGGGUACUAGGUGUGGGUUUCCUUCCUUGGGAUCCGUGCCGUAGCUAACGCAUUAAGUACCCCGCCUGGGGAGUACGGUCGCAAGACUAAAACUCAAAGGAAUUGACGGGGGCCCGCACAAGCGGCGGAGCAUGUGGAUUAAUUCGAUGCAACGCGAAGAACCUUACCUGGGUUUGACAUGCGCAGGACGUAUCUAGAGAUAGGUAUUCCCUUGUGGCCUGCGUGCAGGUGGUGCAUGGCUGUCGUCAGCUCGUGUCGUGAGAUGUUGGGUUAAGUCCCGCAACGAGCGCAACCCUUGUCCUAUGUUGCCAGCGGGUGAUGCCGGGGACUCGUAGGAGACUGCCGGGGUCAACUCGGAGGAAGGUGGGGAUGACGUCAAGUCAUCAUGCCCCUUAUGUCCAGGGCUUCACACAUGCUACAAUGGCCAGUACAGAGGGCUGCGAAGCCGCAAGGUGGAGCGAAUCCCUUAAAGCUGGUCUCAGUUCGGAUUGGGGUCUGCAACUCGACCCCAUGAAGUCGGAGUCGCUAGUAAUCGCAGAUCAGCAACGCUGCGGUGAAUACGUUCCCGGGCCUUGUACACACCGCCCGUCACGUCAUGAAAGUCGGUAACACCCGAAGCCAGUGGCCUAACCUUUCGGAGGGAGCUGUCUAAGGGGUCGGGUG
rnacentral:rRNA from 1 species